UACGGAGGAUGCGAGCGUUAUCCGGAUUUAUUGGGUUUAAAGGGUGCGUAGGCGGCUUUUUAAGUCGGCGGUGAAAUUUUGCAGCUCAACUGUAAAAGUGCCUUCGAAACUGGUUUCCUUGAGUGUAGAUGAAGUAGGCGGAAUUUGUGGUGUAGCGGUGAAAUGCAUAGAUAUCACGAGGAACUCCGAUUGCGCAGGCAGCUUACUAAACCAUAACUGACGCUCAGGCACGAAGGCGUGGGGAUCAAACAGGAUUAGAUACCCCUGUAGUCCCU
rnacentral:rRNA from 1 species